AGUGAACGCUGGCGGUAGGCCUAGCACAUGCAAGUCGAACGGCAGCACAGUAAGAGCUUGCUCUUACGGGUGGCGAGUGGCGGACGGGUGAGGAAUACAUCGGAAUCUACUUUUUCGUGGGGGAUAACGUAGGGAAACUUACGCUAAUACCGCAUACGACCUACGGGUGAAAGCAGGGGAUCUUCGGACCUUGCGCGAUUGAAUGAGCCGAUGUCGGAUUAGCUAGUUGGCGGGGUAAAGGCCCACCAAGGCGACGAUCCGUAGCUGGUCUGAGAGGAUGAUCAGCCACACUGGAACUGAGACACGGUCCAGACUCCUACGGGAGGCAGCAGUGGGGAAUAUUGGACAAUGAGCGCAAGCCUGAUCCAGCCAUACCGCGUGUGUGAAGAAGGCCUUCGGGUUGUAAAGCCCUUUUGUUGGGAAAGAAAAGCAGCAGGUUAAUACCCCGCUGUUCUGACGGUACCCAAAGAAUAAGCACCGGCUAACUUCGUG
rnacentral:rRNA from 1 species